UGGGGAAUAUUGCACAAUGGGCGGAAGCCUGAUGCAGCGACGCCGCGUGAGGGAUGACGGCCUUCGGGUUGUAAACCUCUUUCGACUCCGACGAAGCGAAAGUGACGGUAGGAGUAUAAGAAGCACCGGCCAACUACGUGCCAGCAGCCGCGGUAAUACGUAGGGUGCGAGCGUUGUCCGGAAUUACUGGGCGUAAAGAGCUUGUAGGCGGCUUGUCGCGUCGAUCGUGAAAACUCGGGGCUCAACCCCGAGCUUGCGGUCGAUACGGGCAGGCUUGAGUACUUCAGGGGAGACUGGAAUUCCUGGUGUAGCGGUGAAAUGCGCAGAUAUCAGGAGGAACACCGGUGGCGAAGGCGGGUCUCUGGGAAGUAACUGACGCUGAGAAGCGAAAGCAUGGGUAGCGAACAGG
rnacentral:rRNA from 1 species